CACGUAGGGGGCGAGCGUUGUCCGGAUUUAUUGGGCGUAAAGAGCUCGUAGGUGGCUUAGUAAGUCGGGUGUGAAACCUCCAGGCUCAACCUGGAGACGCCACCCGAUACUGCUAUAGCUUGAGUCCGGUAGGGGAGCGUGGAAUUCCUGGUGUAGCGGUGAAAUGCGCAGAUAUCAGGAGGAACACCAGCGGCGAAGGCGGCGCUCUGGGCCGGAACUGACACUGAGGCGCGAAAGCGUGGGGAGCGAACAGG
rnacentral:rRNA from 1 species